rnacentral:rRNA from 1 species
UGCUUGCACGGCGGCGGCCUUAAAACGCGCCAAAUGGCACCCUUUGUUUACGAGUACCGUUCGUUUCCCCGGUGGGCUUGCCUGCCAUGAGGACCAACAAAAACCUUUGUAGUAGCAGUAUCUUCAGUAAAAACAAAUAUUAAAACUUUCAACAACGGAUCUCUUGGUUCUGGCAUCGAUGAAGAACGCAGCGAAAUGCGAUAAGUAGUGUGAAUUGCAGAAUUCUGUGAAUCAUCGAAUCUUUGAACGCACAUUGCGCCCUUCGGUAUUCCGUUGGGCAUGCCUGUUCGAGCGUCAUUUAAUCAUUCAAGCUCUGCUUGGUGUUGGGUGUUUGUUCCGCCUCAGCGCGUGGACUCGCCUUAAAUUCAUUGGCAGCCGGUAUGUUGGCUUCGUGCGCAGCACAUUGCGUCGCGAUUCUGGCAGGCCUCCUCCCAUUAAGCUUCUUUUAAGUUUGACCUCGGAUCAGGUAGGGAUACCCGCUGAACUUAAGCAUAUCAAUAAGCGGAGGA